rnacentral:rRNA from 1 species
GACAGAGGGGCGAGCGUUGUCCGGAGUGACUGGGCGUACAGCGCGUGUAGGUGGAUGACCACGUGCCGGGUGACAGCGCCGUGCUUAACACGGCAAGGCCCCGGUACACGAGUCGUCUUGAGGCAGUGAGAGGGAUAGUGGAAUACCCGGUGGAGCGGUGAAAUGCGUAGAGAUCGGGAGGAACACCCGUAGCGAAGGCGGCACUCUGGGGCCGGUACUGACGCUGAGGAGCGAAAGCGUGGGGAGCAAACGGG